GAUGAACGCUGGCGGCGUGCCUAAUACAUGCGAGUCGAGCGAACAGAUGAGGAGCUUGCUCCUCUGACGUUAGCGGCGGACGGGUGAGUAACACGUGGAUAACCUACCUAUAAGACUGGGAUAACUUCGGGAAACCGGAGCUAAUACCGGAUAAUAUAUUGAACCGCAUGGUUCAAUAGUGAAAGACGGUUUUGCUGUCACUUAUAGAUGGAUCCGCGCCGCAUUAGCUAGUUGGUAAGGUAACGGCUUACCAAGGCAACGAUGCGUAGCCGACCUGAGAGGGUGAUCGGCCACACUGGAACUGAGACACGGUCCAGACUCCUACGGGAGGCAGCAGUAGGGAAUCUUCCGCAAUGGGCGAAAGCCUGACGGAGCAACGCCGCGUGAGUGAUGAAGGUCUUCGGAUCGUAAAACUCUGUUAUUAGGGAAGAACAAAUGUGUAAGUAACUAUGCACGUCUUGACGGUACCUAAUCAGAAAGCCACGGCUAACUACGUG
rnacentral:rRNA from 1 species